rnacentral:lncRNA from 1 species
UGUUAAAUGCAAGCAGCAAUUAAGAGCCUCUGCAUAGUGAGAACAGAAGCAAUUGGAAGCUGCUGCCCAAAGCAAGAUUCUGCCUGAGAAGCCCAGUAUCCUCAGGGGGCAAACAGGAGUGCAGGCACAAAGCUAUCAAGAUACCAUUGGGACUUCACCAGGUCCACAGGUCUGCUACGUAAUGUGUGAAUAGCUGUAUCUCACCGUGGAGUCAAGAGUUGAGCUGUUAGGAAUACUAUGAAAGCGACCUCUCUUAGCCUUGCCAGGCAGUUUGAACUUCCUUCUCCUGUCUCAUCACUGAGGACAGAACUGGCUCCCAGUAGGUUGGGAAGGAGCCCAGCCCCAACAGCAGGGUAAUUCCCAG